rnacentral:misc_RNA from 1 species
GUAGGUGAACCUGCGGAGGGAUCAUUACCGAGUGAGGGUCCUCUGGGCCCGACCUCCAACCCUUUGAUAUCCGACUCUGUUGCCUCGGGGGCGACCCGGCCCUCACGGGCGUCGGGGCCCCCGGUGGACCACACCAACCCUGUAUCCGUACGUCCGAGUAACAACCGAAUAAGUUAAAACUUUCAACAACGGAUCUCUUGGUUCUGGCAUCGAUGAAGAACGCAGCAUCUGACUGACUUCAGGUUGCGGA